rnacentral:sRNA from 1 species
CGAAGAAAAGUCGAUUAAUCGGAGUGAAGCCUUCUCAGUUCUUGAGUUUUUUUGCCGAGUUUUUCGCAAAUAAGAAUAAUUUUUGUGCAGAAUUUAUUUAUAUUGCAAAUAAAUAAGAAUAACUUGACAGAUAAAACUACAUUUAUUGUGUGCACUAAAUAAGAAGAAAUAUAGACGGAGUUGACGAUUAUAAGUGGACGCGAAACAUAUAAACCAGAAAAAAGGUACUGCUGUUGUCUUUAAUCUAACGUAGCAAAAUAAAAUAAAAG